AAGGAUUUAAGUUAAUUAAACUUGUAACCUUCAAAGUUACCAAUAAAGUGCACCUUUAAGCCUUA
rnacentral:tRNA from 1 species